rnacentral:lncRNA from 1 species
GGAAGGCAAUGGGAGAGAUCUCUGGGCAUACAGAGGGUAAGGGAGAGACCAUGGGGUGGGGAAUGGCAAACAUAGCCCCUCCAGAAUGGGAUAUGGGAUGGGAGAGACCCUCAUGGACAGGGGUGGAAAGGGGGGGAGACCCCUGGGCAGGGGGGAAGGGAACUGGAGAAGCCCCCAUGGACCACACUGGCAAUGGGAGAGACCCCUGGGUAUGCAGGGGGUGGGGGGAGAGACCAUGGGGGGAGAUGACAAACACAGCCCUCUCAAAAUGGGAUUAUGGGAUGGGAGAGACCCCUGGACAGUAGGGCACACAAUGGGGGAGACCUCUGGGAGGAAAGGG